rnacentral:rRNA from 1 species
UGGCUCAGAACGAACGUUAGCGGCGCGCCUAAGACAUGCAAGUCGAGCGAGAAAGGGCUUCGGCCCCGGUAAAGCGGCGCACGGGUGAGUAACACGUAGGUAAUCAACCCUCGAGUGGUGGACAACUCUCCGAAAGGAGAGCUAAUACAGCAUGACGGCACAGUUUUUCGAGAUUGUGUCCAAAGCGGGCCUCUUCACGAAAGCUCGCGCUUGGGGAUGAGCCUGCGGCCCAUCAGCUAGUUGGAGGGGUAACGGCCCACCAAGGCAAAGACGGGUAGCUGGUCUGAGAGGAUGAACAGCCACACUGGAACUGAGACACGGUCCAGACUCCUACGGGAGGCAGCAGUCGGGAAUCUUCCGCAAUGGGCGAAAGCCUGACGGAGCGACGCCGCGUGAGCGAUGAAGGCCUUCGGGUUGUAAAGCUCUGUGGGGAGGGAAGAAUAAGUUCAAGCCAACACCUUGAAUGAUGACGGUACCUCCUUAGCAAGCACCGGCUAACUCUGUGCCAGCAGCCGCGGUAAGACAGAGGGUGCAAACGUUGUUCGGAUUUACUGGGCGUAAAGCGUGUGUAGGCGGCUUUGUAUGUCGGAUGUGAAAGCCCACGGCUCAACCGUGGAAGUGCAUCCGAAACUGCAUGGCUGGAGUCCCGGAGAGGAAGGUGGAAUGCUUGGUGUAGAGGUGAAAUUCGUAGAUAUCAAGCAGAACACCUGCGGCGAAGGCGGCCUUCUGGACGGUGACUGACGCUGAGACACGAAAGCGUGGGGAGCAAACAGGAUUAGAUACCCUGGUAGUCCACGCCGUAAACGAUGAGUGCUAGGUGUCACGGGCUUUGACCCUCGUGGUGCCGUAGCUAACGCAAUAAGCACUCCGCCUGGGGGAGUACG